rnacentral:rRNA from 1 species
CCUACGGGACGCAGCAGUGAGGAAUAUUGGUCAAUGGGCGCGAGCCUGACCCAGCCAAGUAGCGUGAAGGAUGACUGCCCUACGGGUUGUAAACUUCUUUUCUAAAGGAAUAAAGUGAGGCACGUGUGCCUUUUUGAAUGUACUUUAUGAAUAAGGAUCGGCUAACUCCGUGCCAGCAGCCGCGGUAAUACGGAGGAUCCGAGCGUUAUCCGGAUUUAUUGGGAUUAAAGGGUGCGUAGGCGAAUUGAUAUGUUAGAGGUGAAAUGUCCGAGCU